UGUAGAUGGUGUAGAAGAUUGGGCCUAGGAUACUUCCUUGUGGAACGCCAGCUUUGAUUGGUGUGAUUGAUGAAAAAUAUAUGAGACUAUAUCAACUCGUGUUCAAUGCACUUUCCAUUACGUCAUUGGACCAAGAGAAAUUUUCCGGGCCAUCCAAAAAGGAUACAAACAACAAAUCCCCCAUCCUGGACCAUGCAACAUAUAAUUGUACAUGAGAAAAUCAUGCAUUCUCCAAAUUCAAGGCACAUGAUAGCAAUGGUUGACCUUGUGGUUUGUUUAUCAGUGUUGCAAAUGGUAGUUUAACCGGAAAUUGCAAUCAUUCGAUUGGAAAGGCACUUCUGUUGUUAUCAUUGCAUUUUAAACAACAGCAAAAUGCAAUUUUACAACUGGAGUCACGAUGUCCACAACAGGAUUUUACGGUGACCUUAAGUUACAUUUGAACUCCACAAAGGACUGAGGGGCUGGCACCUGAGUGUCGAAAUUCAGACCUAUAUUAGCUCCAAACUAAUUGGUUGGAGAAAUUCAAUCAAAUAAGAUGCUGAAGUGUUAAUUAAUAAACCACUUGUUCACUCAGUAAAAGUUGUUAAAAUAAAUGUAGAUUUUACUAUUUCAUGC